GCCUUUGUGGUGUAGUGGUCUGCAUGUUCGACGGUAACCGAGAGGUCCGUGGUUCGAGUCCCGGCGAAGGCG
rnacentral:tRNA from 1 species